AGACCCGAAACCCGGUGAUCUAGCCAUGGGCAGGUUGAAGGUUGGGUAACACUAACUGGAGGACCGAACCGACUAAUGUUGAAAAAUUAGCGGAUGACCUGUGGCUGGGGGUGAAAGGCCAAUCAAACCGGGAGAUAGCUGGUUCUCCCCGAAAGCUAUUUAGGUAGCGCCUCGUGAAUUCAUCUCCGGGGGUAGAGCACUGUUUCGGCUAGGGGGCCAUCCCGGCUUACCAACCCGAUGCAAACUGCGAAUACCGGAGAAUGUUAUCACGGGAGACACACGGCGGGUGCUAACGUCCGUCGUGAAGAGGGAAACAACCCAGACCGCCAGCUAAGGUCCCAAAGUCAUGGUUAAGUGGGAAACGAUGUGGGAAGGCCCAGACAGCCAGGAUGUUGGCUUAGAAGCAGCCAUCAUUUAAAGAAAGCGUAAUAGCUCACUGGUCGAGUCGGCCUGCGCGGAAGAUGUAACGGGGCUAAACCAUGCACCGAAGCUGCGGCAGCGACGCUGAUGCGUUGUUGGGUAGGGGAGCGUUCUGUAAGCCUGUGAAGGUGGCCUGUGAGGGUUGCUGGAGGUAUCAGAAGUGCGAAUGCUGACAUAAGUAACGAUAAAGCGGGUGAAAAGCCCGCUCGCCGGAAGACCAAGGGUUCCUGUCCAACGUUAAUCGGGGCAGGGUGAGUCGACCCCUAAGGCGAGGCCGAAAGGCGUAGUCGAUGGGAAACGGGUUAAUAUUCCCGUACUUGGUGUUACUGCGAAGGGGGGACGGAGAAGGCUAUGUUGGCCGGGCGACGGUUGUCCCGGUUUAAGCGUGUAGGUGUGUGUUCCAGGUAAAUCCGGUUCACUUUAACACUGAGGCGUGAUGACGAGGCACUACGGUGCUGAAGCAACAAAUGCCCUGCUUCCAGGAAAAGCCUCUAAGCAUCAGGUAACAUCAAAUCGUACCCCAAACCGACACAGGUGGUCAGGUAGAGAAUACCAAGGCGCUUGAGAGAACUCGGGUGAAGGAACUAGGCAAAAUGGUGCCGUAACUUCGGGAGAAGGCACGCUGACACGUAGGUGAAGUGAUUUACUCAUGGAGCUGAAGUCAGUCGAAGAUACCAGCUGGCUGCAACUGUUUAUUAAAAACACAGCACUGUGCAAACACGAAAGUGGACGUAUACGGUGUGACGCCUGCCCGGUGCCGGAAGGUUAAUUGAUGGGGUCAGCGCAAGCGAAGCUCCUGAUCGAAGCCCCGGUAAACGGCGGCCGUAACUAUAACGGUCCUAAGGUAGCGAAAUUCCUUGUCGGGUAAGUUCCGACCUGCACGAAUGGCGUAAUGAUGGCCAGGCUGUCUCCACCCGAGACUCAGUGAAAUUGAACUCGCUGUGAAGAUGCAGUGUACCCGCGGCAAGACGGAAAGACCCCGUGAACCUUUACUAUAGCUUGACACUGAACAUUGAGCCUUGAUGUGUAGGAUAGGUGGGAGGCUUUGAAGUGUGGACGCCAGUCUGCAUGGAGCCGGCCUUGAAAUACCACCCUUUAAUGUUUGAUGUUCUAACGUGGACCCGUGAUCCGGGUUGCGGACAGUGUCUGGUGGGUAGUUUGACUGGGGCGGUCUCCUCCUAAAGAGUAACGGAGGAGCACGAAGGUUGGCUAAUCCUGGUCGGACAUCAGGAGGUUAGUGCAAUGGCAUAAGCCAGCUUGACUGCGAGCGUGACGGCGCGAGCAGGUGCGAAAGCAGGUCAUAGUGAUCCGGUGGUUCUGAAUGGAAGGGCCAUCGCUCAACGGAUAAAAGGUACUCCGGGGAUAACAGGCUGAUACCGCCCAAGAGUUCAUAUCGACGGCGGUGUUUGGCACCUCGAUGUCGGCUCAUCACAUCCUGGGGCUGAAGUAGGUCCCAAGGGUAUGGCUGUUCGCCAUUUAAAGUGGUACGCGAGCUGGGUUUAGAACGUCGUGAGACAGUUCGGUCCCUAUCUGCCGUGGGCGCUGGAGAACUGAGGGGGGCUGCUCCUAGUACGAGAGGACCGGAGUGGACGCAUCACUGGUGUUCGGGUUGUCAUGCCAAUGGCACUGCCCGGUAGCUAAAUGCGGAAGAGAUAAGUGCUGAAAGCAUCUAAGCACGAAACUUGCCCCGAGAUGAGUUC
rnacentral:rRNA from 1 species